AACGAACGCUGGCGGCAGGCUUAACACAUGCAAGUCGAACGCCCCGCAAGGGGAGUGGCAGACGGGUGAGUAACGCGUGGGAAUCUACCGUACCCUACGGAAUAACGCAUGGAAACGUGUGCUAAUACCGAAUACGCCCUACGGGGGAAAGAUUUAGCGGGGUAUGAUGGGCCCGCGUUGGAUUAGCUAGUUGGUGGGGUAAAGGCCUACCAAGGCGACGAUCCAUAGCUGGUCUGAGAGGAUGAUCAGCCACAUUGGGACUGAGACACGGCCCAAACUCCUACGGGAGGCAGCAGUGGGGAAUAUUGGACAAUGGGCGCAAGCCUGAUCCAGCCAUGCCGCGUGAGUGAUGAAGGCCCUAGGGUUGUAAAGAUUUUUCACCGAUGAAGAUAAUGACGGUAGUCGGAGAAGAAGCCCCGGCUAACUUCGUGCCAGCAGCCGCCGCAGUAA
rnacentral:rRNA from 1 species